ensembl:snRNA U6 U6 spliceosomal RNA
GUACUAGCUUUAGCAGCACAUGUACUAAAAUUAGUAUGAUAUAGAGCAGAUUAGCAUAGCCCCUGCACAAGGAUGACAUGCUAAUUCAUGAAGUGUUCAUAUUUCAA